AUAUUCGGAGAACGGCUUCUUGUUGGAGAAAUAUACUCUCAAUCUCCAAAGCCAUACUCAGAGACUUCUAGUACUGCACCUUAUUAUUCUCCUUCAAUGAGUAUUAAGCGAGAAUCAUCAUGGAGAUCAAUGUCAUCACCACCACCAAUUAGUCCUAAUAUAAAAUCAUCAUCUAAAGAAGAGAAGAAUGAUACCCUUUUUGAUACAGUGAAGAAGCUGGAGGCAGAACUUGAGAAAACAAAAGAAGAGUUGAAAAUGUUGAAGGAAAGAGGGAGUGAAACAGAGGUAGCUUUGGCAACACUGAACGCUGAGCUUCACAAGAAUAUGUCAAAGUUGGCUCAAGCUGAGGCUGCAGCAGCUGGGAAAGCUGCAAAGACAGUGAGGUUUGAGAUUGAGAGAGAAAUAAAUAUGAAUAAUAUUGGAGAAGAAAAUGAAGAAGAAGAAGAAGAGAAGAUUAAGAAAAGGAAUUCACAAACACUUGCUCAGAUAAUAAGUCUUGGAGAAAACGACCAUCUUUUUGGAAGGAAAAAAGAUAAGAGCAGUACGAAGCAGAAGCCUAUUAUUCCUCUUGUGGGA
rnacentral:lncRNA from 1 species